rnacentral:rRNA from 1 species
UACGUAGGGUGCGAGCGUUGUCCGGAAUUACUGGGCGUAAAGGGCUCGUAGGUGGCCAACUAAGUCAGACGUGAAAUCCCUCGGCUUAACCGGGGAACUGCGUCUGAUACUGGAUGGCUUGAGUUUGGGAGAGGGACGCGGAAUUCCAGGUGUAGCGGUGAAAUGCGUAGAUAUCUGGAGGAACACCGGUGGCGAAGGCGGCGUCCUG